rnacentral:rRNA from 1 species
UGGGGAAUAUUGCACAAUGGGCGCAAGCCUGAUGCAGCCAUGCCGCGUGUGUGAAGAAGGCCUUAGGGUUGUAAAGCACUUUCAGCGAGGAGGAAAGGUGAUUAGUUAAUACCUGAUUACUGUGACGUUACUCGCAGAAGAAGCACCGGCUAACUCCGUGCCAGCAGCCGCGGUAAUACGGAGGGUGCGAGCGUUAAUCGGAAUUACUGGGCGUAAAGCGUGCGUAGGCGGCUACUUAAGUUGGAUGUGAAAGCCCCGGGCUUAACCUGGGAACUGCAUCCAAAACUGGGUGGCUAGAGUGCGAGAGAGGAGUGUGGAAUUUCCUGUGUAGCGG